AACUUUGGGUGCAGGAGCAGGUAGUUUUACUCCUGGUGCAGGAGCUGGUGCAACUUUGGGUGCAGGAGCAGGUGGUUUCACUCGUGGUGCAGGAGCUGGUGCAUUCCCUCGGGGAGUCGUCUGGAAUACACCGGGAGUAAUCGAGCCAGACGGCGCCGUCCAAGCCGACCGUCAAGCCGAGUAAAAAAUCGAAAAAGUGACUGAGGGGCAGGGUUGUCAAUUCCGUGGUAAAAGGACGCAGAAACGAGGAGAAAUAAGGAGAUGAAAGUGAGGGUUUAGAGGCACAAUAUGAGAUCGAAUGAGAGGUGAGGCGAGAGAAAAGAGUUUGUAUCAGGUUGAAACCUUUCUUCAAUUCCUGGGUGUUGAAGCCCGGAUUCAAUCGGAUGGGUAAUUCUCAGAUCGAAUCUCCUCCUCGGUUUCUGAGUCUGUGUUCAUUUGUUGCUCCUGAUAACUUUUUUGAAUUUCAAUUUUCCUUUCUUGGAGUAUCUGGGAUUGGGUCUGGUAAGGUUUUUAGGUUCUCAGCGAGGAGGAACGCGCUGCUGAGAACAAAAUGGACAGGGAGAGACUGGAGAAGGAGAAGCUGAAGCAGAAGGCUGCCAAAGAAAGUAAUUGCUGAUAAGAUAUGCUACCUGGUUUAUAGCUAGGACAGGAGAAAAUGUCAAAAAUUGAUCUAUCCUCCUUCUUGAUACUUAUGCAAGAUGAAGAGGUGGAAGUGAAUACAAAUAGGAGAAGGCUUUCUGCCCUCCAUAAAGGGUUGAAGGCAAACCCUGUUUGGAAUACGUGCAUCACCUCAUUUUCUCUUGGUUUCAUGAGUUCACAGUAGAGCGCAGCAAGAAGAACGGUGAAGAUAACUAGAUAAGACUUUUAUAGAAUUUGAAGAAUUGAGUGUUGCUUAUGCAAAAGGUGAGGUGCAUCCUGGCGACGUCAAACCGUCUUUGGCAAAAGCAUCGAAUAGGAUACUGGAGGUAGGUUCAUAUGUUCAUGUCAUAUGUGUUCAAUUUUUUUACAGCCAAUGGGAUGUUCAUUCUUUUAUGUGUAAAUCUUGGUUGUUUGGCAACAUGGAUAAGUUUGAAAUUUGUUGCUUAAUGAAUCAGUUAAUGCACCACGAUGAAGUGAAUCAUUGACUUAAGCUUAUAGCAUAGGUUUAAUACCUUCAGUAUCUCACGUCUCAUGCUUCCAAGCCUAAAAAAUGUUAUAGUAGAAGCUCAUGGGUGAGCAGAUGAUCUGAUUCAUUAGGAUUAGUUUACCUGAUUAUCCCUAACCCUAAGAUAUAUGGUCUAGUGGAAAGCUAAGAACUAAACCCCAGAAAAUUGUUUUGGGUGAAUGUGGUUGAGACCAUAGUGUCAUGAGUUCUCUGCCUAUUUUCUUUGCUCAGAGUUUGCUUACAUAUUGUUUCUGACUCUCAUUUUAUUCAGGUUUGGGUUUUGGUACGAUUAUGUAUAUUUGAUUCUGGACUCUGUUUUCAGUUCCUUGCUUGCUCAAUGUUCAGCCAUUUACUGGUAUCUGCUGCCAAAGUUACUUGCUUCAACUAGUCAAUAUCUGUUAUCAUGUUCUUGGGCUGUGAUAGUCUCUUAUAUUUAUCACAACCCAAAAACAUGACAAUAGAUCGUCGUUUACUAAAUCGUAAACUAGUCACAUGAAUCGUACAGAUUUACUAGUUGUCAUUUUUUUUGUUUAUAACCUGGAUCUUUGGGGUUUUUUUUAUCCCACCGUGCAGCUUAAGAAAGAGGUGUCAGAGCUGACCCUGCAACGAGACCUUGCUCAGUCUCAGGUUAAGGAUCUGGUGCAAGUGCUUGGAGAUGAUAAACUAUCACCAUUUUUUCAAUGUGAUCUUCAUGGUUACAUUAUCCAAAAGCAAAUAGACCUAAGCAAAGCUCACCAGCUGAGGUUGUAAAUAAUUGUCAAUGUAUUUGAAAUGGACAUUGAUGUUGAUGAGUUACUUGCUUCAAAUGGAAAGAGCGUCAACUGAUCAUAGAAUAGAGGCGGUGACCCAUUGUAUUUGAAAAAUACAUUAUUAUAGGAAGCAUGCCCAAAAAAAAAACCUGGUGUGAAAUCGAAAUUGUGGGUGAGUUCCUUGUAGAAAUCAUGUAAAUUGUGGGAGUUGCUUCCGUUUGUAAAUUGACGGAAAAAAAAAAUUGAAAUUUCUCAACACAAGAAAGACCAUUAUAUUAACGGUAGGAAUGAAAGUAACAAGUUGCUUUUAAUAGGGAUACUUGCUUUAUAGCAGUUGGUAGAAAUUUCUUAAUGAAAUGUGCAUGAAAUAAAAGCUUAGAUAACUGACAUAUACUUGUAAUGAGCUAAGACUACCC